rnacentral:rRNA from 1 species
GACGAACGCUGGCGGCGUGCUUAACACAUGCAAGUCGAGCGGUAAGGCCCUUUCGGGGGUACACGAGCGGCGAACGGGUGAGUAACACGUGGGUGACCUGCCCUCAGCUCUGGGAUAAGCCUGGGAAACCGGGUCUAAUACUGGAUAUGACUCCAUGACGCAUGUUGUGGGGUGGAAAGCCUUGUGCGGCUGAGGAUGGGCCCGCGGCCUAUCAGCUUGUUGGUGGGGUGANGGCCUACCAAGGCGACGACGGGUAGCCGGCCUGAGAGGGCGACCGGCCACACUGGGACCGAGACACGGCCUAGACUCCUACGGGAGGCAGCAGUGGGGAAUUGUUCACAAUGGGCGCAAGCCUGAUGACGCAACGCCGCGUGGGGAUGAAGGUCUUCGGAUUGUAAACCCCUGUCGAAUGGGACGAAUGAAUCGCGCACUAAC